AUAGUACAGGAGCACUAUGUAAAUUACUGGAAUAUAUUGAAACAUACCAGGCCUUGUUAUAUCAACAACAGGGACAUACAAAGGUGUUUCUAAAUUCAGUAAUCACUGAAACAGAUCAGCGUUGCUCGUACUCUUAAAUUAAGAAUACAUACUAUGUAUUUAGAUUCUACCUUUGAGCAGCAAAUAAGGAGUGCAAAUAUUAGCAUGAACCCAGAACUCGCUCAAAAUUACAACACAGCUUAACUGAGCAAAAUCAAAUGGCAGAGGAAGAUAUAAUAUGUACAUAUUAAAUUCCUAUUAUGGGCAUCUGCAAAGGCAGAAGAUCAAUACCCACACAUGAUGAUACUGAAACAAAUUCAUGUAACAUCGUCCAAGAAUGUUAGCUUAAGCAUACCGUGAUAAUCACAAAUCUGACGGUCGUUGGCUCUGGUCCAAUAUCGACACCUGCAAUUGCAGAAGAUCAAUUCUCACAGAUGAUGGUACUGAAACAAAUUGGCAAACGAAAGAAAAUACAUGUUGCAUGUACAGAAGCUGGGGAUAGUUUAUUCUCCAGGAGAUGCUUGACAGAAGUUGUUUUCCCCAUACUUUGUACCAAAUAGAUUUCAGACAAAAUCUGCCCUGCUGCUCAAGAAUGUAAAGCCAUGUCAUUCAAUCUGUUGUCAAUUGAUCCUAAUGGUAAAUACAAAUACAUGUCACUUAAAAAGAUUAUGCCAUGAUAGUUCGAAACAAGAAUACGCCACAAUAGCACAGUGCCAGAAUUAUUUCAUUCUAGUGUCGUAGCUAUACAGUCUGAUGCGAUUCACAUGCAUGAUGUUCUAAUGAGUAGGCUAAUCAAAAUAUAAGGCAAGUAGAAGGAAGAGGAACCAGGAGUGGUGAUGCUGUGCUCAUCUAUACCAUCGCUUGUGAGCUAUGCAGUGGCAGCAGCCCUACAGAGAGGAACGGUUGUGGCCCGGGAACAUGGCGCCUCAAAAGCCAUGUUAUAUGCUGUUGAGGAAGGGCGCCUCUGAUGGUCGUGCUGCGUCACCAUGUCAUUGCCAGUGCCGACAACGGGCCAACGCUGGGAGG
rnacentral:lncRNA from 1 species